rnacentral:rRNA from 1 species
AGUGAACGCUGGCGGUAGGCCUAACACAUGCAAGUCGAACGGCAGCACAGUAAGAGCUUGCUCUUACGGGUGGCGAGUGGCGGACGGGUGAGGAAUACAUCGGAAUCUACUUUUUCGUGGGGGAUAACGUAGGGAAACUUACGCUAAUACCGCAUACUACCUACGGGUGAAAGCAGUGGAUCUUCGGACCUUGCGCGAUUGAAUGAGCCGAUGUCGGAUUAGCUAGUUGGCUGGGUAAAGGCCCACCAAGGCGACGAUCCGUAGCUGGUCUGAGAGGAUGAUCAGCCACACUGGAACUGAGACACGGUCCAGACUCCUACGGGAGGCAGCAGUGGGGAAUAUUGGACAAUGGGCGAAAGCCUGAUCCAGCCACACCGCGUGGGUGAAGAAGGCCUUCGGGUUGUAAAGCCCUGUUGUUAGGAAAGAAAAACAGCAGGUUAAUCCCUCGAUGUUCUGACGGUACCCAAAGAAAAAGCAACGGCUAACUUCGUG